UAUUAAAAGUUAGAAUGAUACUACAAUGUACUGUUGUUAAUGAGCUGAAACCAAAAUGAAGAAAAACAUUUACAUGCAUGUACAAGCAGUUAAAUCCCAAAUUACAUGUAAUAUUUAUGAAAUUAAUACAGACAUAUAUAUAAAUUACUGGCAUAUACAUAUAUACAUGUUUAGUUUUGGAAAACUGCAUUUUAAUGAUAAUUUUCUGUCAUCUAAUAUAAACCAAGAAGCUGACCAUUCCUUAUCAAAUAAAGCUUUACAUACAAACAAGAUGUUGAAUAGAAAAACACUUUUGUUAAUAGUUUAUUGAGAGGAUGUUAAACGGUAUCAUAAGUUCAUAAUGAAUGAUAGUUUAAUAAGUGUGCCUGUAAAAAAAGGAAAUGUCUAUGCAAAUACUGGAACAGACCGGGGUUACCCAUUAGAAGCUAUAUGAAAUUUAUGUCUUAAUUUUGAUUUGGCAAUCAAUGGAUUUUUCUGUUACUAUUAUAUGUUCAUCUCUGUUUACAUAUUAAUAUACAUUUAACUUCGUCUUUUCUUGUAGAAUUUCAUGCACUGGUAGUACUAUAAGCUGCUCUUUAUCAUUUAUUUAUUUGAUUUAUCUGUGAUAUUUUUCUGUCAACUUACUGUAAAUUGUUUAUUUUACUCGAGUACCUAAUUCACACAUAGAACACAUAGAAGUCAGGUUCAUCCAUUAGAUUGUACAUGUAUGAACUGUAUCAGAUUCUACGACUACUGGCUUGUGUGAAAGUCACACCAAGCCUCCAUCAUGAUAAAUACAUGUAUCAGCUAGAGAGAGGGAGACACACAAUAACAAACUUCCUGUCAUUCAAAGAAAGAACUAAACAAAAAAAUGUGAUUCUUCCAUCAUCAACUCUGCAUCUUCUCUCUUGCGCAGAUUAUUUUCCCAUUAUCCAAACACAUGAUGAGGCGUCUAGCUAGGAGAGUUCUGAUUGGUUGAUUUGUCAGACAUUACCAGUACUUUUGGUAAAUGUUUGGCCGACUCCUACCGUAUAUAUUUUUUGCUUUAAAAAUUUAGAUAAAAAACACAUUAGAAACUAUAGUUUUUAUCUUGUUUGCAGUGUUUUCUUAAUUUAUUCUUUGCAUUACUAUUAAUAUUAUAUUAUAUACAUGUAUAUUUAUAUUUUAUGAAUACAGUGCAUACUACUAAACAAUUUUUGCAAUAAAAAAGG
rnacentral:sRNA from 1 species